CAUGUCCCCCGGUUCUCCUUUAUCUUGUGGUUGGGAUUUCUUAGAAAACUUCCUACUAAUGAUAUUACUAGGCACUACUUGUCUGGCAGAACUUCCUCCUGCCCUCUCUGUCAGCGACAUGAUGAAAGUUUUGACCAUCUAUUUUUUGAAUGCCCAUACUCCUCCUCCAUUCUGCAGAAAACUCUUACAUUGGGUGAGUGGUCUAACGUACCCAUGGAAUGGACUGGUGUCUCUUCGUUCAUCAUCUCCUUCCAA
rnacentral:lncRNA from 1 species